GACCUCGGAUCAGGUAGG
rnacentral:rRNA from 10 species